GACGAACGCUGGCGGCGUGCCUAAUACAUGCAAGUCGAACGGAAAGGCCCGGCUCUUGUGCGGUGCUCGAGUGGCGAACGCGUGUGAAUAACGCGUGUAACCUCUCCCUGUCAUUGGGGUAACACCUGGAAACACGGGCUCUUAUACCAUAUGAGCUCUUGCAGCACAGGGGUGGAUGGUAAGAUUCGGCGGUUCGGGAUGGACUCGUGGUUUAUCAGCUUGUUGGUGAGGUAGUGGCUUACCAAGGCUUCGACGGGUAGCCGGCCUGAGAGGGUGACAGGCCACAUUGGGACUGAGGUACGGCCCAGACUGCUACGGGAGGCAGCGGUGGGAAAUAUUGCACAAUGGGCCGAAGCCUGAUACAGCGGCGCCGGGUGCGGAAUGACGGCCUUCGGGUUGUAAACCGCUUUCGCCUGUAACGAAGCGUGAGUGACGGUAAUUAGUAAGAAAGCAACGGCUAACUACGUG
rnacentral:rRNA from 1 species